rnacentral:rRNA from 1 species
AACGAACGCUGGCGGCAGGCUUAACACAUGCAAGUCGAACGCCCCGCAAGGGGAGUGGCAGACGGGUGAGUAACGCGUGGGAAUCUACCCAGUUCUACGGAACAACUGAGGGAAACUUCAGCUAAUACCGUAUACGCCCUACGGGGGAAAGAUUUAUCGGAAUUGGAUGAGCCCGCGUUGGAUUAGCUAGUUGGUGAGGUAACGGCUCACCAAGGCGACGAUCCAUAGCUGGUCUGAGAGGAUGAUCAGCCACACUGGGACUGAGACACGGCCCAGACUCCUACGGGAGGCAGUAGUGGGGAAUAUUGGACAAUGGGCGCAAGCCUGAUCCAGCCAUGCCGCGUGAGUGAUGAAGGCCUUAGGGUUGUAAAGCUCUUUCAGUGGGGACGAUAAUGACGGUACCCACAGAAGAAGCCCCGGCUAACUUCGUGCCAGCAGCCGCGGUAAAAC